rnacentral:tRNA from 2 species
ACUCAAAUAGCUUAUAUAGAGCAUAAUAUUGAAGAUAUUAGGGAAAUAUUUUAUAUUUUUGAGUA